rnacentral:rRNA from 1 species
UGUUGGGUAGGGGAGCGUUCUGUAAGCCUGUGAAGGUGUGCUGUGAGGCAUGCUGGAGGUAUCAGAAGUGCGAAUGCUGACAUAAGUAACGAUAAAGCGGGUGAAAAGCCCGCUCGCCGGAAGACCAAGGGUUCCUGUCCAACGUUAAUCGGGGCAGGGUGAGUCGACCCCUAAGGCGAGGCCGAAAGGCGUAGUCGAUGGGAAACAGGUUAAUAUUCCUGUACUUGGUGUUACUGCGAAGGGGGGACGGAGAAGGCUAUGUUGGCCGGGCGACGGUUGUCCCGGUUUAAGCGUGUAGGCUGGUUUUCCAGGCAAAUCCGGAAAAUCAAGGCUGAGGCGUGAUGACGAGGCACUACGGUGCUGAAGCAACAAAUGCCCUGCUUCCAGGAAAAGCCUCUAAGCAUCAGGUAACAUCAAAUCGUACCCCAAACCGACACAGGUGGUCAGGUAGAGAAUACCAAGGCGCUUGAGAGAACUCGGGUGAAGGAACUAGGCAAAAUGGUGCCGUAACUUCGGGAGAAGGCACGCUGAUAUGUAGGUGAAGCGACUUGCUCGUGGAGCUGAAAUCAGUCGAAGAUACCAGCUGGCUGCAACUGUUUAUUAAAAACACAGCACUGUGCAAACACGAAAGUGGACGUAUACGGUGUGACGCCUGCCCGGUGC